rnacentral:rRNA from 1 species
GUUUAUUAAAAACAUGUCCUWUUGUUUWUGAUUUUAGGUUUGACCUGCCCAAUGAAGUUUUAAUGGCCGCGGUAAUUUGACUGUGCAAAGGUAGCAUAAUCAUUAGUUUUUUAAUUGAAAGCUUGUAUGAAGGGUUUGAUGAAAAAAUAACUGUCUCUAUUUAAAUUUAUUAGAAAUUUAUUUUUAAGUAAAAAAGCUUAAAUAAAGUUAGUAGACGAGAAGACCCUAUAGAGUUUAAUAAUUUUAUUGGUAAAUAUUAACUAAGAAUCUAAAGUUUUACUUUUAGAUUUAUUUGGUUGGGGUGAUUAAAAAAUUUAAAUAACUUUUUUUUUUAUGAAAACAUUUAUUUAUGGGAAAAUGAUCCUUUUUUAAAGAUUAAAAAAUAAAAUUACCUUAGGGAUAACAGCGUUAUUUUUUUUUAGAGUUCAAAUCCAAAAAAAAGAUUGCGACCUCGAUGUUGGAUUAAAGAUAAUUAUUGGUGUAGAAGCUAAUAGAUUAGGUCUGUUCGACCUUUUAAAUUUUACAUGAUCUGAGUUUAAACCGGKGKGASCCAGGUCGGUUUCUAUC